UAGGGAAUCCUCCACAAUGGACGCAAGUCUGAUGGAGCAACGCCGCGUGAGUGAAGAAGGUUUUCGGAUCGUAAAGCUCUGUUUUUGGUGAAGACGGAUAGAGGCAGUAACUGGUCUUUAUUUGACGGUAAUCAACCAGAACGUCACGGCUAACUACGUGCCAGCAGCCGCGGUAAUACGUAGGUUGCAAGCGUUGUCCGGAAUUAUUGGGCGUAAAGCGAGCACAGGCGUAAUGAUAAGUCUGAUGUGAAAGCCCACGGCUCAACCGUGGAACUGCAUCGGAAACUGUCAUUCUUGAGUGCAGAAGAGGAGAGUGGAAUUCCAUGUGUAGCGGUGGAAUGCGUAGAUAUAUGGAAGAACACCAGUGGCGAAGGCGGCUCUCUGAUCUGCAACUAACGCUGAGGCUCGAAAGCAUGGGUAGCGAACAGG
rnacentral:rRNA from 1 species